CCUACGGGAGGCAGCAGUGGGGAAUAUUGCACAAUGGGCGAAAGCCUGAUGCAGCUAUGCCGCGUGUAUGAAGAAGGCCUUAGGGUUGUAAAGCACUUUCAGCGAGGAGAAAGGGUAAUGUGUUAAUAGGACAUUGCAUUGACGUUACUCGCAGAAGAAGCACCGGCUAACUCCGUGCCAGCAGCCGCGGUAAU
rnacentral:rRNA from 1 species